rnacentral:rRNA from 1 species
UACGUAGGGGGCAAGCGUUGUCCGGAUUCAUUGGGCGUAAAGAGCGUGUAGGCGGCCAGGUAGGUCGGUUGUGAAAACUGGAGGCUCAACCUUCAGAGGUCGACCGAAACCAUCUGGCUAGAGUCCGGAAGAGGCGAGUGGAAUUCCCGGUGUAGCGGUGAAAUGCGCAGAUAUCGGGAGGAACACCAAUGGCGAAGGCAGCUCGCUGGGACGGUACUGACGCUGAGACGCGAAAGCGUGGGGAGCAAACAGG